AUUGAACGCUGGCGGCACGCCUAACACAUGCAAGUCGAACGAGUGGCGGACGGGUGAGUCAUGUCUGGGAAACUGCCUGAUGGAGGGGGAUAACUACUGGAAACGGUAGCUAAUACCGCAUACCAUCGGAUGUGCCCAGAUGGGAUUAGCUAGGAGGUGGGGUAAAGGGUCACCUAGGCGACGAUCGCUAGCUGGUCUGAGAGGAUGACCAGACACACGGAAAGAGAGACGCGGACCAGAAUCCGAAGGGAGGCAGGAGGGGAAAAAAUUGGGCAGUAGGCAGUAGCGUGAUGAGGCCAUGGCGCGAGUAUGAAAAAGGCCUUCGGGUUGUAAAGUACUUUCAGCGGGGAGGCGUUACCCGCAGAAGAAGCACCGGCUAACUCCGUGCCAGCAGCCGCGGUAAGAC
rnacentral:rRNA from 1 species